rnacentral:tRNA from 1 species
GAUUAAAAGUGAUAAGUUACUAAAACACAGUCAUGUGGAAAAGAGAUUAAUGUAUAAUUAUACAUAGUAUGU